rnacentral:rRNA from 1 species
UCGAGAGGCUUCGGCAAUGGGGGAAACCCUGACCGAGCGACGCCGCGUGAGGGAUGAAGGCCCUUGGGUUGUAAACCUCUUUUGUCGGGGAAGAAAUGCGAUCAGGUAAAUAAUCUGGUCGUUUGACGGUACCCGACGAAUAAGCUCCGGCUAACUCCGUGCCAGCAGCCGCGGUAACACGGGGGGAGCAAGCGUUGUUCGGAAUCACUGGGCGUAAAGGGCGUGUAGGCGGUUCGGCAAGUGAGAUGUGAAAUCCCUCGGCUCACCCGAGGACCUGCAUCUCAAACUGCCGGACUAGAGUAUGGGAGAGGACAAGGGAAUUCCUGGUGUAGCGGUGAAAUGCGUAGAUAUCAGGAGGAACACCGGUGGCGAAAGCGCUUGUCUGGCCCAAUACUGACGCUGAGGCGCGAAAGCUAGGGGAGCAAACGGGAUUAGAUACCCCGGUAGUCC